UGCCCAACACCCCAUUUAACUCGACCCGCAAGCUGACAAACACACAAGAGGAGAACAAGUUCCUUACAACAAAAUAAAAGCCACUGUUUGGAACCGUCAGCAUCUUUGCGUCAUCAUGUGCGCCGCUGCCGCUACCGUGAAUAUGGAGCUGGCGCUGAAGGAGAUUGUCAAGGCGACCAUCGCCAAGGCCUUCCCGCUCGUCCCGGCCCAGGAGCCUCUCAUCACCCUUGGCAAGGUGAGCGAGUAUCAGUGCAACAAUGCCAUGGGGCUGGUGAAGGUGCUCUCUCAGCAGCAGCAGCCAAUAAAGAUGAGCCCGCAGAUGGUCGGCGAGGAGCUCAAAAAGAACCUGGUCGGCAAUGAUAUCAUCGACGAGUUCGAACCCACGCCCAAGGGUUUCAUCAAUGUCAGCAUCCGCAAGGAAUGGGUGGCUAGGAUGGUGAAGGAGGUGCUGAAACAGGGCAUCCGCCCACCCGUCGUGACGAAGCAGCGCGUGCUCGUCGACUUUUCAGCGCCGAACAUUGCCAAGGAGAUGCAUGUCGGACAUCUGCGCUCCACCAUCAUCGGCGAGUCGAUCAGCCGCCUGCUGGAGUUCUGCCAGCAUGACGUUGCACGUAUCAACCACAUCGGCGACUGGGGUACGGCGUUUGGCAUGCUCAUUCUGUACAUCAAGCGCAACUUCCCCGACUACACCACGAACCCGCCGGACAUCUCUGACCUCACCGCCUUCUACCGCGCGGCGAAGAAGUGCUUCGACGAGGACCAGGAGUUCAAGGAGAAGGCCCGCCUCGAGGUGGUGAAGCUGCAGGCGCUGGAGGAGGAUUCUAUCCAGGCGUGGAAGUACAUCUGCGACGUGUCGCGCGAGGAGUUCGACAAGGUUUACACCCGCCUCGGCGCCACCAUCGAGGAGCGCGGUGAGAGCUUCUACAACCCGCUUAUUCCAAAGGUGCUCGAUCUGCUGGAGGAGGCGGGACAGAUCGAGGUGAGUGACGGCGCGAAGCUCAUCGUCAGCAAGGAGGCGCGCAAACUGGAUAGCCUCGAUGCGCGUGACAUGACAAAGCUGGCGAGUCAGCACCUCGCGCUCGUCUCGCGCGAUGGUCCGUCGUACCACCCGAACCUGCUUGCCGCCAUGAAGAAGGCUGGCAUCUUGACCGGGACUGAGGGUGAGGAGUCGGUGGCGCUGUCGAAGAAGGAGGUGAAGCCGUGGAACAAGUUUGAUAUCCGCGUGGACCUGGACAAGCUGAUGGCCCAGCUCGCACCCCUGUACAAGAAGCAGCUCGAUCCUCUCUUCCUGGAGGUGUUCGAGGCUGCGGGGAUUGUCAAGGGCGACAGCAUCCUUGUCCCCCGUUUCUCCUUCCCGCUGAUGGUGGUGAAAAGUGAUGGCGGCUACACCUACGACACGACAGAUGUCACGGCCACGUACCACCGCUUCGUCAUCGAGAAGAUGAACCGCGUCAUCUACUGCACCGAUUUGGGCCAGUACGAGCACUUCCGCAUGUGCAUGCAGACGGCAAAGGACAUGGGCUGGAUGGAACAUGCCACAUGGGACCACGCCGGCUUUGGCCUUGUGACGGGUGCAGAUGGCAAGAAGAUAAAGACGCGCUCGGGUGAGACGGUGAAGCUGAAGGACCUCAUGGACGAGGCGGUGGAGCGGUCCCUUGCGAUCCUGAAGGAGCGUGAGGCGGGCGAGCGCAGCCAAGGCCACUCGGAGGAAGAGAUGCAGAAGCUUUCCAACAUUAUCGGCAUUGGCGCCAUCAAGUACUUCGAUCUCAAGCAGACGCGUACUGGUGACUACGCCUUCAGCUACGACAAGAUGCUGGACAUGUCUGGAAACACAGCCGUGUUCCUUCUCUAUCAGUACGCCCGCAUCUGCUCUAUCAAGCGCAAGGCCGGCAUAGCGGAUGAGGAGCUGCUCGAGAUCACCGACAUCUCUCUCGAGACCCCGCAGGAGAAGAGCCUCGCGCUGUGCGCGCUGCGCUUCCAGACGGUGAUUCUCAAGACCGUUGAGGAUCUCUUCCCGCACCACCUGGCCGACUUCGCGUACGAGCUCAUGACAAACUUCUCCAACUUUUUCCAAAACUGCCGCGUCUUGGAUGACCCGCUGCAGAACAGCCGCCUGUGCCUAGUCGAGCUUACCCGCAUCACCCUCAAGAAGACAUUGGAGCUGCUGAACAUCGAGACGGCCGAGCGCAUUUAGCGGAUGUCUGGUGCUGCAUGUGGGCGCUGUAGUCCAAUCCCAGGCGUGAGGCUAGUGAGUACAAGAGAGAACGAGGAGAGGAGGCGGGCCAAGCACGGAGCCUCCAAAGGCUCAUGAGAGCCUCAGGGUUUUUGUUUGGUUCCUCGGCGCCCGCCCGCCCCUCACCCCCCCCCCACCCCCUCUUUCGUCUCAAUCGCCUCUCGCAUGUUUGUGCUUUCUUAUUUUGCUCGUGCUCCGUGUUGCUCUCCGGGCGCACUCCUGGUGGGUUCUCUUCCCUUCGCGCCGUCGCUGAUGCACAAGGGGAACCGGCAGCCCCCCCCCCCCCCAGUGAGGUCGUUCAGCGACCCCCACCUUUUUGGCUGAAGGCAAAUCUAUGCGCGUAUGCGCACGCAUGUGUGUGCGUGUGUGUCGCUCAUCUCACGGCGUGCGCUUGCGGGGCUACUCUCCUCUUCUGUUUGUAUUUUUGAGGAGCGCACGGUGUAGUUCACUUCCGGCUGACAACCACGCUCUCUGCCAGUUUCGCUGGCGACUGUUUCGCGGUGUGUCGGCGAGUCACGGGGCAACGGGUCCUCUGCGCUUCUCUUUUGCCUCGCUCUCUCCUUCUCAUUCUCCCACCAACACCACCCUGUUGUGAGUCGCGCAAGUGGGCUGGUCUCUUCUCUGCCUCCUGUGCCUCCUUUUGUGUUUGUGUGCAUUAUCCUUCGCUCGUGUGCCGCUACUGAUAGCGCACAGAUACGUUAGCGGAAGGUGUGCGUGUGCGUAUGCGUUUGGAUGUGUGUGUGUGUGUGCGUGUGUGUCUGCGCGCGUAAGUGUUCCUUAAUGCGCU
rnacentral:misc_RNA from 1 species